CUAUACUCGGGGUUUGGAAAGGGGAAUCCCCUUCCCGGUUUGGAGGGGGUGCUCAGGAGCGUAAGCUCCGUCGAAGGGGGG
rfam:[Clostridium] termitidis CT1112 Ct_contig00069, whole genome shotgun sequence.